CGCACAAGCGGUGGAGCAUGUGGUUUAAUUCGAAGCAACGCGCAGAACCUUACCAGCCCUUGACAUAGGGGUUUGGGGUCUUGGAGACAGGACCUCUCAGUUCGGGCUGGGCCCCAUACAGGUGCUGCAUGGCUGUCGUCAGCUUGUGUCGUGAGAUGUUGGGUUAAGUCCCGCAACGAGCGCAACCCUCGCCCUUAGUUGCCAUCGGUUCGGCCGGGCACUCUAGGGGAACUGCCGGUGACAAGCCGGAGGAAGGCGGGGAUGACGUCAAGUCCUCAUGGCCCUUAUGGGCUGGGCUACACACGUGCUACAAUGGCGGUGACAGUGGGCAGCGAAGCCGCAAGGUGGAGCCAAUCCCCAAAAACCGUCUCAGUUCGGAUUGUUCUCUGCAACUCGAGAGCAUGAAGGUGGAAUCGCUAGUAAUCGUGGAUCAGCAUGCCACGGUGAAUACGUUCCCGGGCCUUGUACACACCGCCCGUCACACCAUGGGAGUUGGUUUUACCCGAAGCCGGUGCGCUAACCGCAAGGAGGCAGCCGACCACG
rnacentral:rRNA from 1 species